CAGGACGAACGCUGGCGGCGUGCCUAAUACAUGCAAAGUCGAACGCUUCCUACCGGUGCUUGCACCGGGAAAGAAGAGUGGCGGACGGGUGAGUAACACGUGGGUAACCUACCUACAAGCGGGGGAUAACAUUCGGAAACGGAUGCUAAUACCGCAUAGAUCUUUUUGUCUCCUGGCAGAAAGAAGAAAGACGGUUUCGGCUGUCACUUGUAGAUGGACCCGCGGCGCAUUAGUUAGUUGGUGAGGUAAUGGCUCACCAAGACGAUGAUGCGUAGCCGACCUGAGAGGGUGAUCGGCCACACUGGGACUGAGACACGGCCCAGACUCCUACGGGAGGCAGCAGUAGGGAAUCUUCCGCAAUGGACGAAAGUCUGACGGAGCAACGCCGCGUGAGUGAAGAAGGUUUUCGGAUCGUAAAACUCUGUUGUUAGAGAAGAACAAGGAUGAGAGUAACUGCUCGUCCCUUGACGGUAUCUAACCAGAAAGCCAUAGCUAACUACGUG
rnacentral:rRNA from 1 species